GGAGCCCGGAGAUGUCCGCGUAGACCACGAGAGCCAACGGAAAGAGGAUCCAGUGGAAAAGUUCGGGCCUGGUGCUGCUCAUCUGGCAGAUUAUCACUUUGCACUGUCGGAAGGAAAGUCGCUGCACUCCUUCAUAUACUCAAACACCUGCCUGGGAGACACCAUUUACUUGAAUCAAUUUUGGAGAUCGACUCCCUGACGAUGUGCUGGGAACGCAGAGCUGUGACGAUCUUGGAGCUGAGAGUUAAGCAGCAGAAGACAAGGAAUUUUAUCAGCCACUUUUGCAGCUCUCUGCGCUGCCGUGGGAUCACCAACGUAGCAGCCGCGAGCCCUCAGGCGGACCAAAGACCCCCCUAUGAGGCCCUGCAUAACAUGCACCUACACAGCACUAAGGUCCCUCUAAGGGACAAAGAUGAAUACCCAGCAGGCCAUGGAGAUCAAGGUAAAAAACUCAGCGCCAGUAUUAGUCAACAACAGGCUGAGAAAGCGCAUAAUUCUU